UACUCCUACGGGAGGCAGCAGCAAGGAAUUUUCCACAAUGGGCGCAAGCCUGACGGAGCAACGCCGCGUGCGGGAGGACGCCCUUCGGGGUGUAAACCGCUUUUCGGGGGGACGAAGCAAGUGACGGUACCCCCGGAAGAAGGCCCGGCUAACUACGUG
rnacentral:rRNA from 1 species